GAACUCAAAGAAAAAGUCAGAAUCGUUCGAUGUCAUCGCAUCACGCAAUGCAGCCGAGUGAGUAAUUAGCGCAGAAUAGAAGUUCAAUGGGGUGAUCGACACACCGCGCAAACACGGCCCUGGUUUUGGCCACUCACUUGAGACAUGGACUCUCGGAAGAAAAGAGGAAGAGAGACCGAGCAAAAUGAUCCGAGAGGUUCCGAGGUGUUGGAAAGGCACGAUGAAAGACAUAUGAGGAUUCCAGCGGCGAGAUAGGAUAUGCCUGCCGACUAUGUUACAGCGAAAAUCUUUUGAGGUUCACCUUAUGCGUACUACUCCUCUUUUACUGUAGUUUUUUCGCAGAAUUGACAAGUAUCGAAUAGUGCCGAGAGAAUUCUGUAAAAACAUUGACUCAUUCAUUUAUUUGAAUAACAUUAGUGUAGUUGAUCAUGAUUUUAUGUUAUAUUAAUUGUUAUACAAAAUUUUAUAAAUAGAAUACAUACACACAUAUGUAUAUAUAUAUAUAUAUAUAUAUAUAUAUAUAUAUAUAUAGAUGAAGAUACAUUUCAGCUAUAAAAUAACGAAAGCUCACGAAGUUUAACAUAAAGCUUAAACGAAAGAUUGAGAUUCUUCGAAAGUUUGUGGAGCACGUGGUUCUGUCAACUUCGAACGUAAGAAAGACGUCCCUCUAUUUACGACAUAAGGUAAACUUCUUUUAGGUCUCGCAGUUCACGGUCAGUGUCUGUCUUCGGGUACUUCGCUUGCUUGGACAGUUUUCAUGGCGCUAACAGAUAUGUCCGUCUUUCUUCCUGUUUUCUUCCUACCAUGCAUAUUUCAAUAAAAUUCAUUUUUAUCAAGCAUACGAUUUAGAAAGCAAUGCGUGUGUCGAAAAAAGCGAGGAAAAAUUUGGAACAUUUGCAACAUUUUGGCACGAAGUUAAAUUUACGAUGAAAUCCAAUUUUAAAUCAUAUUUGUUCCAAGUCACCUGUCGUCGUGCAAUUAAGAACGAUGAGUCGACAAGUGGCCGAUUUUAUUGUUGCUAAUAAGACUCGAGCACAAGCUAACGACGAUGCUCGUUACUUUUUCAAUGUCAAUUAUAUCCUGUAUUUGAUGCUUAAUUUUGGUUACCGUACAAUGAAUUUCUUCUUUUAGAUUUUGAAUUCAAAAAUACAUUUUUUUGUAAAUUGAGACUAUAACUUCACUAAUUUUGAGUUGAACAAUAGAAUCACUGUUUUAAUGUAAUAUAUAUAAAAAAAUUGACAAAUUGGUUUGAAGAAGUACAAGAACUGUUAAACCGAGUUUUCAAAAUUUCAAUACUUAAAUAAAACGCGAGUUACAUGGAGCAAAAGAAGGGCGGUGACGACGAAGAAAUUUAAGAAGUAGACAGAGACGAAGGUUGCAGACGUAAAGCAUAAACAGUCGAGGUGCGAUUUGACGCGCACUCGGACCAUCCAAGGCACAUCUCGCUCGCUGAACGUAUGCUUUAAGAAUCCCGAAGAAGCGACCAGCCCGAUGGCUGGAAUCUGUAAAUCUGUCAUUGCAGCCAUAUUCGUGUGGCUGGUACCGCAGGAUAUGAACUUCUGCUCGUCGUAUACGCCACCGUCGUACGAGACACUAGAUCUACACGCUUCUCUUCUUUUGAGAGCUUUGCACCGAAACGGAAACCUCUCCCUAUCUCUCGAAAUAACAAAUGUUCUUUUUGUUUUUCAUAAAAUUGACAAAACCUCUGGGAAAGUAUUUCCUUUUAUUCUCUUUAAGUAUUUCAAGAUCACAAAGAGAGAAUUUUAUAAUUAUAGUUAUUUCUUAUUCGUUAACGUAAGCUUAUUCGUCCCACUUAAUGUAUGAACUAAUCUUCAUUUUUGUCAAAAUAUUAUGAAGAAAGGCUUGAAAACCAAUGAAAGAACUAUGUAUCAAAAAAUUCAACCAUUGUUCAUUCAUCUAUACCUUUCAGGAGCUUUCAUCUUUUUUGUGUUCCAGUGGCUGGUUGAAAGUAAAGCGCAGUUCUUGUUGAAGGUUUAAAAACCGUUUGGUUAUAUCAAACUGCAUGGAAACUAUAAAAGCCCUGGCAGUCGUUGCACGUAUACGCAGUAUUCCCUCUGGUAGCUAGCGAUGACGGAUUCAUAGCCCGUGGGAUAACGCAAGACCUCACCCCAAGAUGUUUCGGUUUACGGAUGCACGCUCUUCCUUGCUUUUUCUUCCUAUUUCUCACCUUUUUUUCUUCUAUCUACUGAGCGAUUCAUUUGUCGGUCUUUGAUCCGAGACCAACAAGCUACUACCGGAAAAUUAGCCAAAUUUAUUAAGCAGUCGCUUUCUCUAGACUGCUAUCUGUCAUUUUAUUCUCCUUAUUUCUAGCGCAACCUGUCGUUUCAUCUUAUACGGGAUAUCAUUCAGUGGAAAGAAUCUUUGUUCAAAGAUACCGUAUUUGGGUGGUCGAAGGAUAAGUGACAAAUUCCAGAUACUUCGUUGGGAGUCUUUUCUUUCUUUUAUAAAGACAGAACGCAAAAUUUAUAUAGAUCCAUGAAUAUUACAAAGUUAAAACAUAUUCAUAGCUAUAUUUAUUAACCGAUGAAUUAUCAUUAUAACGUCGCCGGUGUCCCGCUUAUCGAGAAAGACGUCCUUUCAAGUUUCUGAAAGGUAGAUCUUCGAGAACAGCUGGUUCUCGCGAACAGCGGUGCCACCAGCAGCGCAAUGUCAACUAACCCCGUUAAGGGUUAGGGGUUAACUUCCACAGGACUAGUACCUACGAGGAAGAUGAAAGAAUGAGCGAAGAUAGGCCGACGGCCGCCCCUUUUUAUUACCGGCGCCGUCACGCGUCACCGAUAAGCGCGGUCUCUCUGUAGACGAAAAGUCUAUGCUUGCACCGGUUCUCUCGAAACAUGAGAUUUCAUCUUCCCUUCUUUAUUUCUGCUUUUGCCAUCUCUAGUUGAAAGAAAGUUUCAUUUUUUAUGGACAUGUGUCGAAAACCUUGGAACACUAUCUGCUUCUUUUCGACAAGGAGUAAUAGAAACGUGUUACAUUCUUAACAACUGGCUGAUCAUCUGUUUCUUUAUGUUUUACUCCGGCUAGAAAGAAGCAUUGGGCUAAAAAUUAAAGAAGAAAGAAACUGCAAAGGUUUCUGCUCUUAUUUUUAUUCAUUGCGGAAACAUGUGCGGGUCAUGAAUGACUGCAAAACGUUUUGUGAAUGCACGAGGGAAGAUGUUCACCGAGAGUCAUUAAGGAUACGGUAUAUAAUAUGUUUACACAACGAGGUUCUUCGCGUCGCCAUCAAUCAUGGUGCACGUCGGUCCAUCCGUUUUUCUACGCUUAGGAACCGACAGACUGAGACGCUCAAAUUCUAUGCUACUUCGCUUUGUUGGCAUUAGAUUGUCAUUUCUAACAGUCCCGAUGUCAAGUCGUGUACAUACUACGUUCGUGUGAACGUUUGGUAAAACAAUUCGAGCAAACAUUUGAAAACUUCUUUGACAAAUUUUGAAAAGAGCAGUUCGAGAAAAAAUGUUCACUUAUAUACGCGUCAUUCGACCACAAGGAAAUCACGGGAAAAGGAAUUCGUAAGAGGUUGUGAAAUGGUUAACUUUAAACUCAAGUACUUGGCUUUAGAUUCUCGUUUACUUUAUAGAGUUUCCAUUUUUUCGAAUACGUUGUGUAACAUAAGAAGGCAAGAAAGUUUCGAAACACAAUGGUACACGAUACUUGGAGAAUAAUUUAUUAAGGCACUUAGUAGCCAAGCUCUCUCAUGGGUUGUCACGGUGCGUUUACUUUCCCGUCUUGGCUCGAGAGCGUUUUAGGCUCGUUUGGCAUUUCAGACACCCUGUAUAAAUAGAUGCACUUUGCUCCUACAAAAGGCACUUUCUUUCUCGACCAGUCCGCUACGGACCUACGACACCACCGAUUUGUAUCACGCGAUUUGAUCAUCGUGAACACCAAUGGAACUUUAAUUUUCUCUCUUGUACUUUUGCAAGAUCCUCUAGUAAAUCAUCAUUUUAAUUUCCACCGAAACUUUUAUGAAUUCCCGAGAAAAUAGAGAUCCGAAUUAUCGCGGUCCAUACAAUGAGGGUCCAGUAUGGGGAUGAUGAGGAUGCGCAGGAUAGUGAACCGAAUUCAUGUGUGCAGUUGGUUGUCCAUGGUGUCCAGGAUAAGUCCAAGGUCCUGCUGCGGUCGCACCGUAAAAUUGAUGAUGUUCUUGGCUCGAUAUGCUUGGAAUUUGCACGGUCUCUUUGCAGGAUUCUGUAUGCUUGAAACUGCGACAGAGUCACACUCAUCCGAUUCACAGUCACGAAAACCUUUCGCAAAUGGAUUGCUAGCAAUUUUGAGUUGCGUGAUACGAUGAUUUUGAUAAGCUGUGA